rnacentral:rRNA from 1 species
GACGAACGCUGGCGGCGUGCUUAACACAUGCAAGUCGAACGAAGUGGCGAACGGGUGAGUAACGCGUAAUCAACCUGCCCUUCAGAGGGGGACAACAGUUGGAAACGACUGCUAAUACCGCAUACUGAAGGAGGGGAUUGCGUCUGAUUAGCUAGUUGGAGGGGUAACGGCCCACCAAGGCGAUGAUCCGUCGCCUGUCUUAGGGGAUGGACGGCCACCUUUGGACUGAGACACGGCCCAGGCUCCUACGGGAGGCAGCAGUGGGGAAAUUUCCGCAAUGGGGGGAAGGCUGACGGAGCAAAGCCGGGUGAUUGGUGACGGCCUUCGGGUUGUAAAGCUCUGUUAAUCGGGACGCGGUACCGGAAUAGAAAGCCACGGCUAACUACGUGCCAGCAGCCGCGGUAAUUC